rnacentral:tRNA from 1 species
GCUCGCUUAGUUUAACUGGAGAAAACAUCUGCCUACGAAGCAGAAGACUAUAGGUUCGAGUCCCUUAGCGUGCGA